AUGUUUGAAAUGCAGAGGC
rnacentral:piRNA from 1 species